UGUAAAAGGACCUUCGCUAUCUCAGUGCC
rnacentral:piRNA from 1 species